GACGAACGCUGGCGGCGUGCCUAAUACAUGCCAGUCGAACGCAGUGGGGACGGGUGAGUAACACGUGGGUAACCUCCCAUCAGAGGGGAUAACACUUGGAAACAGGUGCUAAACCGAUACUGAUGGAUGGACCCGCGGUGCAUUAGCUAGUUGGUGAGGUAACGGCUCACCAAGGCCACGAUGCAUCGCCGGACUGAGAGGGGGAUAGGCCAACCUGGGACGGAGACACGGGCCAGACUCCCACGGGAGGCAGCAGUAGGGAAGCUUCGGCAAUGGACGGAAGGCGGACCAAGCAACGCCGCGGGAGUGAAGAAGGUUUUCGGAGCGUAAAGCUCUGUGGUUAGAGAAGCGGUAACUAACCAGAAAGGGACGGCUAACUACGUGCCAGCCGCCGCGGUAAUAC
rnacentral:rRNA from 1 species